rnacentral:rRNA from 1 species
UACAGAGGUGGCAAGCGUUGUUCGGAAUUACUGGGCGUAAAGGGCGCGUAGGCGGCUUGGUCAGUCCCGUGUGAAAUCCCUCGGCUCAACUGAGGAACUGCACGGGAAACUGCCUGGCUUGAGUUCGGGAGAGGGAAGCGGAAUUCCGGGUGUAGCGGUGAAAUGCGUAGAUAUCAGGAGGAACACCGGUGGCGAAGGCGGUUCUCUGGGAAUAUCCUGACGCUGAGGAGCGAAAGUGUGGGGAGCGAACAGG